AAUACUUUGAACUUCAUUAAAUUGAUAUUCAUGUGGCAACAUCAACAUAAACUUCAGCUAAAAUGCAAUACUGUCAACAUCUAAGCUAUGUUAUUCAUUGUAAGGGAAAACCAAACAAUGAAGAAAUUUAAAGAAAAUAUAUACAUAACAUUUUCAGAGCUCCUUGAAUCUGAUUUAGGAAUACACCCAACUAUCUCUAAUCCGAACGAUGCACCUAUAAGCUUAAUAUGACAGCUCCUAUGACAAUAAAAGAGCCAAUACCCAAAUAUCUUUCAGGUACCCUGAAUUUAAGUGUUUCAAAUAUACAAGGUUUGUUCUUACAUAACCUUUUUUUUAAAGUGUAUGAAAAUGUCCAUCGUCUUUGUGUCUCAGCAAUGUAGUCCGACAUCAACCGGACAGGACAAAUUGAAGUAGUUUAUUCUUUUCCAGAAUUGUC
rnacentral:lncRNA from 1 species